rnacentral:rRNA from 1 species
UUAAAUAUUUUUUUUGGUUUAAAAAAAACUCACUUAUGUUUUUCGCGGGGAUGGGGCUCCGCCCACCGCGGGGGCCGCCCCUACUAGCUCCGACACUUGCGAUGAGUUGUCUCGGUUUCUUUUGUUGGUCCCGGGCUCACAUCUUGUUCUCUUGAAAAAAAUUAAAGGGCUCAAAGCAGGCAUUUUGACUUGAAAUGUUAGCAUGGAAUAAUAGGAUAGGACUUCGUUUCUAUUUGGUGGGUGUUCGAAAAUCGAAUUAAUGAUUGAUAGGGACAGUAGGGGGCAUCCGUAUUCUAACGACAGAGGUGAAAUUCUUGCACCUUGGGAAGACUAACAACUGCAAAGGCGUUGGCCUUUAACGUUUUCUUUAAUCAAGAACGAAAGUAGGGGGAUCGAACACAAUCAGAUACAGUCUUAACCUUAACCAUUUUUAUGUCAGCUAGGGAUCCGCGGUAUAUCGCGACUUCGGCAUCGUUUCCUAACUAAAAAUUUUAGGGUUCUUGUUGGCGUGGGACGGAUGGCUGCGAUGAAAAUUAAAGGAAGUAACGAAAGAAGACCAUCAUCAGGGUAGCCUGUGGCUUAUUUUUGAUCACUUAAGAAAUAAAUACGAGGCAGGGACAUAGAGGGGGAGAGACAUAUUGAUUGCUCUUCUCUGAUCCCUAUUCGAGGGGGUGCAUCGCCGUUCUUAGUUGGUGGAGUGAUUUGUCUGGUUAAAUCCCUUAAACACCAGACACCCUACUGCUCUGAAAAACGCGUGCUGUAUCCGAUGUCGCGCGACUUCUUGAAGUAUCAUUGUGUAGUCUCCUGUACGGAGGAUGUCUAU